rnacentral:lncRNA from 1 species
UAGGAGAUGAUAAAAAUACAUAUUAAGUAAUUUGUAGCCUGAUAUGCUUUGUAUGUAGAUUGCUUACGACUAACAUGAAAUGAGCAUUUCAUUCCUUAAGCAUGCAGUUGGGGAAAAAUGGGAGCCAGGCUGGAUGCACAAAUUUGCACCAGAUGCUCUGUAUCCAGGUAGCAGAAAUGACUAACAGCACUGGUAUCCAUCAGUCCCAGAGCAAAAGCAUCUCCAGAGGAGGACAUCUGUAAAUCCCAAAUCUGAUCUCCUUCAUCAUCAUUAGGCAACAGAUAGGAUAAGACUUCAUGAAGAGAAUUUUGGUGGCUUUAGAUUGUUGAGAAAGUAUAUAUAGGAAAAAACUGGAAAUUAUGUCCAAGAUUUUUUGUCUAACUCCUUAUCCUGAUAUUGUUAACAUUUCACAACUAAAAUAAUUUUAACAGACAAUUAGUUUUUAAAAAUGUAUUUUCAUGACCUGAGACUACAGAAAUUGCCAUUUUCUUAGGACGUAGUUUACAUUUGACUCUCUGCUUACUGUGUCCAGGGCAUCCCCAAAUUGGGAGAGAUUGCCAAGUCAGUUGCCAUUUUGCCUUACUUUUACCAAGGACUAGCCUACAGGUUCAGUUUUGCUCUUGACUUUGGCCCUGAAUUGAGAACUGAGUCAAGAGAACAGAGUGGAAGUAUGGAGCCAAAGCCAGCAGCUUUACUCAAAAAAUAUAUAUGAGUCUAGUAUUUUUUUUGUUUUUGAAAGACAUGUUACUGAGCCCAACCCAGUCAGGGAUCACUGAAUAUUGAGUUAAAUAAAACAAUAAUGUUAUUCAUGUGUUUGAAAUUAAUGUUUUAAAGAACCAUGCACACACUUUAAAAUGUAACUGGAUUUGCUAUAUAGGCCAGAGAAAUAUGGCUGUUACGAUGAAGGCGUAACUUCUCUGGUUCUUGAUUAUUUACACCAUUAGAGAAGAAUGCAAAUAUGAAUAGCUCAGAGUAGUUUAACUUUGAAGUGAGAGUUUAUAUGCACCUUUAUAUGUGGGAUAACUGAUGUCUUUGGAAUAGACUUCAAAUGAAUGAUAAAAACACCUGUAAAGUGAUAGGACCUCUACUUUUUCUCAUGUCCAAUGUUCAGUUUCUUAUAAACCAGGCAUGAAGAGAAACAAAAAGUAAUUAAUUCUCCAGAUCAUGAAGUUGUCUUCAACCUAAGCACAGAGGUAUAAUAAUUACAUUUCUCAGAAGUUCCCCCUCUGUUUUGAGUCUCAAGGGCAAUUGAGAUGUCAGUGAGGCUGUGAUUAAAUGUAUUGGAUAUUAGAGGAUUUUAGAUACAAACAAGUAUUAUAGGUGUUACCACUGACCCCGAAGGUAAGAUUUACUGUGAAAAUUUAUAAUGCAAGGAAGAAUGAUCAUUUUCAAAAUAUACACUUUGCAACUUAAGUUGGCUGUCACAACAACAAAAUAUUACAAACCAGGAUGUCUAAGAGCAGAAGUCCGUGGUUGCCAACUCUCAAGCCUCUUAGCUUAAUCCAAUCUAGGAUGCAUUUCCACUCUGCAACAAACAGUAUUUAUUUUUGCCUUAUUUGCAGAUAACAGUUUUAAUGCAGGUACUGCCCACGGAUUAGCUUUGAGCAGUGUCUUUUUGCUUUGGUUUUUUUAUUUGUUUGGUUUGUUUUGAGACUGAGUCUCACUCAGUCCUCCAGGCUGGAGUGCAGUGGUACGACUUUGGCUCACUGCAACCUCUGCCUCCCGGGUUCAAGCGAGUCUCCUGCCUCAGCCUCCCAAGUAGCUGGGACUACAGGCGUGAGCCACCAUCCCCGGCCAAGCAGUAUCUUUUUGCUUUGAAAGUGACUUACAUGUACAUUUGUUUUCCUUGUGAAUGUUUCUUUUUAACUGCAAACUAACAAACAUUGAGCCCAGCAUUCAUAUAUUUGCAAACUCUGUCUUAAUUUCUCAGUUUUUUUCCUUAGAAAAAAUGCAAUUCCUUUUCUUUUUUAAAUUUAAUUUUGCUUUAUUUUUCUUUAUAAAGUGAAGAGUAGGUAGCAUGAAUUCCUCUUGCCCUUUGCUAUUUCAGUCUGGCAUCAGUAGCAAUUGUUGCUAUGUCCAGUUUUCAUUCAUGGAUUUUUCUGGGAUUGAAGAUGUGUUGAGUUCAAUGUUGAUUAUUUAAUUGAGCAGUAUAAGUAAAUUCAUUGGCUCUCCUUCCAGUUUAGUGAAUACUAAAUAUCAUCCAUGAUAUUUUAUACUUCUUACACUUCUGGAAUGCUAACCUGAAAAUAGAAGUUGUAAGUCAGGGAUGGUGGUAUGUGCCUCUAGUCUCAGCUAGUUGGGAGGCUGAGGCUUGAGCCCAGGCCUUCAAGGCUGUAGUGCACAAUGACUGUACUUGUGAAUAGCCACUGCACUCCAGCCUGGGCAACAUAGCAAGACUCCCACCCUUUAAGAAAAAAGAGAAGAGAGGAAAAAAUAGAAGUUGUGGAGAGGGAGGAGGAUGCUUGAAUACUUUGACCGUACUUGGCAUAAUAGACAUUUUGAGGGUUUUUUUUUUUUCUUAAAAUUCCUCUGGAUCAGUUUUCAUUGUUUCUAGUAAUUAUAUUUAUCAUUAAUGAAUUCAUAUUCUGCUCUAGUCCCUAAAGAUAGUUUGAUAUGCUAACUUUUGUUUUGCCUUUCUAGCUGCUAAGAUAGAUAAUGGUUAUUGCAAAAUGCACGUUUUUAAAUGGUCUCCAGUGUGGAUUGCUUCUGAGCUGCUGAUGGAUUGAAUACAUUGAGAAGGAAUGUGUCAUUUGGAAUCCAGGACCAGUCAGCAAGGAUAACUGCCUGAUUUUAUGGUCAGAAUGCUCUAACUCUUAUGGCAUACUGAUGACUUUUUCUUCCAUUUUCCAAAAAAGCAAGUUUUGUCAGUCUCAGUGUUUCUCUGAUCUAGCUACUCACGAUUCCAUUCCCAAAGUAGUGACCUAGUUCUGUCACUUGGGUUUCAAAGGGAGUUGAAGUGUCAGUGAGUACAGCAAACCUGUUUAAUGAUUUAUAGGAAGCAAAUAAAAAGAAUUUUGUUUGCUAACCUAGAAGUAUAUCAAAUUUUGGUUUCAAUUUAUAAUUUUGCAAAAUAUAAAGACAUUUCCUGGCUAACUCCAUCCAGAUGAAUUAUUCAGUAUUUUUUCUCCUGUCUUAAUGAAGUUAAUUUGAAUGCUAAUUUCCUAUAACCAAGAAAACAGUUGAAUUAAAUAACCCUUAUCUUUUAAACUUAAAGCUUAUACUACUAAUAAUCAUUUAACAUUCACUUCCUUCUUUCUGACUUAAUUGGUAGGUAAAUAAAAUACUUCAAAUUUGAUUGGCAAAUUGGAAAAUCACUUAGAACAAUCUGCUAGUAUUUUUUAUUCCCUUUGUUUUUUCCUUUACACAUUUGUACUGCAAAAUAAAUCAAGGACAAAGACUCACACUGAAUUGAUCAACUUGUGUUUGGUCUUCAUGGGAAUUACAUCUUUUUUCCCCUCAACAUUUAUUAAAGGAACAUACAGAAUUUCAGACUAUAGCAAACUAAUACCUUUAGCUUGACUAAGAGUUGAUUUUCGUUAAGGAACAGAACUUGUAAUUUAUUUCGACAUACUUUAAUGUAUGACUCAUCCCUGUUAAAGUUGUGAGACUCAAAACUACGCCCAAAUCACUUAAUUUUAUGUCCUUCCCUGUUUACUGUGUCUGACCUUCAAGAUUUCGUGACUGAUGCUGAAAUGGAAGCCAACCACUGCAGAAAUUUGGGGGAAAAUGAGAUCUGAAGAAUACAAGGGGAAGUAGGAAUUCAUUUCUAGCAUUUCCAAACCUGCUUAAUCGUGUCUGCUCCACCACAGUCAGAGGAAAAGACUGAGUUCAUGGAAAUUACCAGCUAAGCCUUACAUCUGUCUUUAAUGUUUUUAGGAAGUAUACUGAAAAGGUAAGUGAGAUGUCUGUUUUGAAGAGAGACUCUUACUGGGUACCUUAAAACCCGUUGUUUCCUAUUAGUAAAGAUGGGCAGCUUCUUUAUUCCUAGCUUCAAAAAGCCUUGCCCCUGUUCGGUGUGUUUCUCAGUAUUGUGGAGAAGGUAGUUUCUGAGCAAGGUGGUGCUUUUCCUCUGCUUCUCAGCAGCUAAGACAGAAAUUGCACCGAAGUGUACAAAGGGCCAAUUUUUGUUGUCCUGUUGUGCUCAAAUCCUUUUUUUAAAAAAGUUAUUUCAAUCAAGUCUUAGUUUUAUUCCUCACUAUAUAGGAAAAAAAUCUUUAAUGCCUCAAAAGUUCCAGUCAGCAUUACAUUUGCAUUACUCUUAUUUGCAGCAAAUAUGAGUAAAAUUGUAGGUUUUUAAAGGUCUCUAAUAACAUCCACUUAUAUUGGUUUUGUAGAUAAUCCAUAAAUUACCAGAAAUAAAUUAUUCCACAUUUAUUACACACCCAUGUAAUAGAUGUCGUGCCAGGCCCUGGAAUAUACUAAUGGCAUCACCUCAUGUGGUAAAAAGACACAUUCCGCCAUCCUGGAGUAUACAAAGGUAGACUAGCAUAUAGUUCAUGUGCUCAAGGAGUUCAUUUUUAUUGACAUGAUACAGAUAGAAUUGUAGUUUAGGGAAUCAAAAUAUAAUAAAAUGAGGCUAAUUCCAUUUUCCCAUUAACACUAAUAACUAGUGUGUAAAUCUGAAUAUGACACAUUCUAUAUGAAAGAAGCUCUGUGUGCAUCUACACUAAAUACUCGUGUGUGCCAGGUACUAUUUUAAACUACGUAUAUUUUUUUAAUUCUCAUAACUGUUCUCUGAGGUAAGUACUAAUACUAAAGCUAUUGUCAAAGGAAGGCAGAAAAAUUAAGUAACUUGGCCUAAGUUUGCAUAACUGUGAUCUGGGAUCAAUAUUUGAACCCAUACAGGCUGAUUGCAGAGCCUGCACUCUUAAUUUGAGUGUGAUAUUUAUGUGCAGUACCUGGCUAUAAGUACCCACAAAACGUUUCAAAUUCUUUAUAAAAUUUGCUUAGUUAAAAAAGUACCAAUUGCAUAAUAUGGUUAUAAGUCUGGUAGAAGUUAGGCUUUUUACAAGACAUGCUGCUUACUGCACCAAGGAGGCAAGAAGUCUUUUUAGAGAGCCCAAAAUUUCCUUUCCUCAACUCCUGCUUCCAAGACAGUCAUUUUGCAUGAUAACCGUUUCCCCAAAAAACACAGACACAAAAUUUAAAGAACUGGAACAGAGGAAGCAGAGCUUAUCAUAGUAUAUAUAUUUAGUACCCUGUCACUUAGGUCCACCCCUCUUUCUUUGUGGAUUGUGGACAUUUUGUUUAACUGCUAAAUCAUGAGAAUAUAUGACUGCUGAGACUUUUCCAAGGAUUUUUUAAAAAACACAUUAGGCUUCGUGCAGAAGUAAAGAAAAAGUGCUGUGAGAACCCCAGGUAGGUAAUUUACUUCCUAUUGUACUCAUAGUUUGUUUGAAACCUCUUCACCUCUAUCCCUUAUUGUUUUAUACUCUGUAAAUCUGAUUUUACCUUUAAUAAACUUUUCUGAAGUGA